rnacentral:misc_RNA from 1 species
GAAGUGCGAUAAGCAAUGCGAAUUGCAGAAUUCCGCGAGUCAUCAGAUCUUUGAACGCAUAUGGCGCCGGAGGGAUAUCCUUCUGGCAUGUCUGUUUCAGUGUCUGAGAGGUUUCACCAACAUCUUAAUGUGAUUGACAGCAGCAGCAGCAGCAAGCAAUUGUUGUGGUUGGUGUUGUCUCUCAUGAAAGAUGCGCGAGUGGAUCUUUCGGUCCAAUGAAGUGGUCACAUCACUCGUAUGUGAUUUCAUUGGGAGCACCGAAUUAUCCGCCAUGCUCGCGGUGUCAUCAUAUAAUAUAUGACGAAAGCAAGAAAGAAAGAAAGAGCUUCUUUCUUCUUCUUCUUCUUUGGUUGUAUUUUUUUUCUCUCUCUACACCCUGCAUCUGAGAUAGGCAAGAUCACCCGCUGAACUUAAGC